UGAUAACAAACUCCAAAUGAACCCGUAGAAAGUAGGUUGCAGCAUUUUAUCCCUGCAGUCCUUGCUGUGCCUCAUCCAAUAACACGCCUUCCACUUCCUUAAGAGAGUUUUAUCAUCAUGGGCAUCUUUAUACAAACAGC